rnacentral:misc_RNA from 1 species
GAAAUGCGAUAAGUAAUGUGAAUUGCAGAAUUCAGUGAAUCAUCGAAUCUUUGAACGCACAUUGCGCCCGCCAGUAUUCUGGCGGGCAUGCCUGUUCGAGCGUCAUUUCAACCCUCAAGCCCCCGGGCUUGGUGUUGGAGAUCGGCGUGCCCCCCGGGGCGCGCCGGCUCCCAAAUAUAGUGGCGGUCUCGCUGUAGCUUCCUCUGCGUAGUAGCACACCUCGCACUGGAAAACAGCGUGGCCACGCCGUUAAACCCCCCACUUCUGAAAGGUUGACCUCGGAUCAGGUAGGAAUACCCGCUGAACUUAA